ACUCCCCAUGACCUCCCCUCUCUCCCUGAUCUAUUCUUUAUCUGUUUCCUUUUCAGAAAAGAGAAGGCCUCCACAAGACUACAGAUGAACAGGACAAAACAAGAAAAAAUGAGAAAAUGUGAAAGCCCUUGUGAUGGUGCACAUUAGUGCGGAUGCCUUCAGAGGGAGGAGAGUGAUGGAUCCUAUGGAGCAGAGUUAGCGGCAACUGUGAACCGUCCAAUGUGGCUGCUGAAAAGUGAGUUUGGCUCCUCUGCAAGAACUGUAUGCACUCUUCUUAAUCUCCUUUCAAAUCCCAAAAGAGAAUUAUGCUCCUGCUUUGACCUACACUCCUCUCACAUGGACUUUCGGGAUCAUUCAUUCAUCUUCCAGCCAUCAGAGAAUCAGAGGCAGGCUUCUCUUUUGAGGCCUGAACCUGUCAGACAUCACAGAGAGAUAGGGGUGAGUAUAAACACCUGAAACAGCUUAUAUUCUCUUGGGCUCACAUCUGUCCUGACUGGAUCUAAGGAAGAACUUCCCAAGAUGAGCACACUGAGGACCCAGGCAAAGGCAGCAGUUAAGCUAGCCC